CAAUUAUUGAAGAACUUGGAAGAGGAUCAAUUCCAAGAAGAUUUUCUUAUAGUGACCUUGUUGCAGCUACCAACAAUUUUUCAAAUGAGAGGAAGCUGGGAGAGGGAGGGUUUGGUGCUGUUUACAAGGGGUACCUUGCUUAUUUAGAUAUGGCAGUAGCUGUGAAGAAAAUUUCAAGGGGUUCAAAACAGGGGAAAAAGGAGUACAUAACCGAGGUAAGGGUCAUCAGCCGGUUGAGACAUAGAAAUCUGGUGCAACUUAUAGGUUGGUGCCAUGAAGGAGGUGAGUUCCUGCUUGUCUAUGAGUUUAUGCCAAAUGGUAGUCUUGAUUCUCACCUUUUUGGGAAGAAGGCUCCACUCAUUUGGGCUGUCAGAUACAGAAUAGCUCUUGGAUUGGCCUCUGCUCUGCUCUAUCUUCACGAAGAGUGGGAACAAUGCGUGGUGCACCGCGAUGUCAAAUCAAGCAAUAUAAUGCUAGACUCAAGUUUUAGUGUGAAGCUUGGGGAUUUUGGGUUAGCUCGACUCAUGGACCACGAGCUAGGUCCGCAAACAACAGGUUUGGCUGGAACUCUAGGCUACUUGGCUCCAG
rnacentral:misc_RNA from 1 species